AAUGAAGUGUCUGAGUAAAGAAUUAUUUUGAUAGAAUAAAGUACGUAAAUUUUUUUACCUUCAUUA
rnacentral:tRNA from 1 species